rnacentral:rRNA from 1 species
UUCUGGAUUCAGCAACGGAAAGUUUAGUGAACCUUAUCACUUAGAGGAAGGAGAAGUCGUAACAAGGUUUCCGUAGGUGAACCUGCGGAAGGAUCAUUC